CUACUAUUCUGUCAUAAGGAAAAUAUGGAGGAUUUAUCUAGCCAUAAUUUGACAUUUUUCUUGGGUUUUAUGGACUACAAUGUGUUCAAUUAGAAAGCAUUAGUUCAUUUGAUGUUUUUAGUUGAGGUUGUGGUGAUUUUCAUUUAUUUUCAUUUUUUGUAAGAUGUUAACAGCGUACAAGAGAGUCAAGAAGAGGUUGUGUGUAAAAGGAGGUUCUUUGCAGGCCAAACAAGUGGCUGGAAAUUAUUUAUUAAUGCAGUUGAGAUUGUUGCGGAGGUCCAUUCUUUCAGAUUUUCAUUAUCAGUUGAUUAUUUGUUGAACAAAUGGAUAGUCCAUAGAAAAAAGAAGGAAAUCUUGUAAAACUACUAUAAUUUUAUUGUCAAUAUUUGUCAUUCAGACUCCUAUAUAUUUGAAACAUAGGAUGCUACCUCAUUUGAGCAUCGAAAUUCCCAUAUAAUACAUGACUCUCAGAAGAAGGGGAGACUGGCAGAACAUGUCACUAACUUAACAUCUUCAAUCGCCAACCUAUCUUCCGGGAAAGGACAAUCGACGACUUCUUUCUUCUCCGGCAAUAAAUCGCAUGCCUUUGGAGUCACGUUGCUUGUAACUCCCGCAAUGUUGGUACAAUUCCAUUGUAAUUUCUUGGGCUUCUCAAUCAAUGUGAUAGUCACAUUAGAAAUGCAAAUUCCCUUGAAAGGAUCAUUAGGAAUUCCCUCCAGCCUUGCAGAUUUUGAUCCUCACACUGGAUUGAGUACUAAGGGCUGUGAUGUCCUCAGCGCGGACGUCGCGAAUUCCACCGGACAUC